rnacentral:rRNA from 1 species
AACGCUAGCUACAGGCUUAACACAUGCAAGUCGAGGGGCAGCGGGAUUGAAGCUUGCUUCAAUUGCCGGCGACCGGCGCACGGGUGAGUAACGCGUAUCCAACCUUCCGUACACUCAGGGAUAGCCUUUCGAAAGAAAGAUUAAUACCUGAUGGUAUCUUAAGCACACAUGUAAUUAAGAUUAAAGAUUUAUCGGUGUACGAUGGGGAUGCGUUCCAUUAGGUAGUAGGCGGGGUAACGGCCCACCUAGCCAACGAUGGAUAGGGGUUCUGAGAGGAAGGUCCCCCACAUUGGUACUGAGACACGGACCAAACUCCUACGGGAGGCAGCAGUGAGGAAUAUUGGUCAAUGGACGCGAGUCUGAACCAGCCAAGUAGCGUGAAGGAUGACUGCCCUAUGGGUUGUAAACUUCUUUUAUAUGGGAAUAAAGUGGUCCACGUGUGGAUUUUUGUAUGUACCAUAUGAAUAAGGAUCGGCUAACUCCGUGCCAGCAGCCGCGGUAAUACGGAGGAUCCGAGCGUUACCCGGAUUUAUUGGGUUUAAAGGGAGCGUAGAUGGAUGUUUAAGUCAGUUGUGAAAGUUUGCGGCUCAACCGUAAAAUUGCAGUUGAUACUGGAUAUCUUGAGUGCAGUUGAGGCAGGCGGAAUUCGUGGUGUAGCGGUGAAAUGCUUAGAUAUCACGAAGAACUCCGAUUG